UGCACACGGCCGGCUGGGCUGGACUGCAGCGCUGCCGUUCCUUAUGAAGAAGGCACAAACUUGGAUUAUCACUUGCUUUUGUCUUCAACUCCUCCUACUUAAUCCUCUUGUCAAAGCCCAGAGUUCCUGCGGGAAUCCAGUCACGGAUGAUGUGAAUGACAUUGCAAAAUUGGUUGGAAAUCUCCCAAAUGAUUAUAUGAUAACCCUUAAAUAUGUCCCGAAGAUGGAUAGUCUGCCUAGUCACUGUUGGUUGCAUUUGAUGGUGCCUGAAUUUUCAAGGAGUCUACAUAAUCUUCUCCAGAAAUUUUCAGAUAUUCCAGAUAUGUCGGAUGUUUUAAGCAACUAUUCAAUCAUCAAUAAUCUCACAAGGAUAAUUAAUGAUCUUAUGGCAUGCCUUGCUUUUGAUAAAAACAAGGAUUUUGUGAAAGAAAAUGGUCACCUUUAUGAAGAGGGUCACUUCAUUCCUGAGGAUUUUUUUAGGCACUUUAAUAGUACCAUUGAGGUCUACAAAGAGUCUGCAGACAGAUUGGAUAAGAAUGACUGCAUUCUGCCUUCAACAGUAGGAACACCGGAGAAUGAUUCCAGAGUCGCUGUCACAAAAACAUUUUUGUUUCCUCCUGUUGCUGCCAGCUCUCUUAGGAAUGACAGCACUGGCAGUAGCACUAGCAAUAACAAAGAAGCACUUGGCUUCAUUAGCAGCUCCAGCCUGCAAGGGAUCAGCAUAGCACUGACAUCAUUGCUGUCUCUCUUUAUUGGCUUUAUUUUGGGAGCCAUAUACUGGAAGAAAAUACAUCCCAAAUCCAGACCAGAAAGUGAUGAAACUACACAGUGUCAUGACUAUCAAGAGGAAAAUGAGAUAAGUAUGUUGCAGCAAAAAGAAAAGGAACAUCUACAAGUGUAGCUGUUGCUUUUUCUCUCCCUACACUGUUACUGUUUCAUGUACUGAUGACUUCAAAGGGAAGUUUGCUGCCAGAGAUUGCCAAUACCAAAGUGCCUAAACAGUUCUGUAAAACAUGAGAGUGGUUCCAUUACCUUAGAUGACAUCAAUGAGCUUUUGCAGGCAAGUAACAGUUCUAUGUUUGCUUCAUAAAUGAAGCAGCUUUAAGCACAUCCGUAUUCCUUCUGGAGUGACAGACUGAGUCUGCAUCUGUUGUUGCUGCCCAUGACUCCAUAGACAUGAUACAGAAAUGAGGACAAUUUGUGUUUGUUACUGUGAAACCAACACUGAACUGAACAAUGACAAGAGGAGUGUGCACUUAGCAGGACUGUAUCUUAUGUGAAUAUCUACCUUGUGUGACAUUUGAGGUUUUUUAAUUGCAUUAAUACUUCCAGCUGACUCUGGCAAAAAAGUAUGUCCUGAACAAAAAAAGCAUCUUUCAAAUGCCUCCAACAGUGUGUAAUCGUUGCAAGUCAUAAAUACCUUUGCAUCCUUAAUUUAAAUUCUGUGUCCUCUACCUUAAAUUGAUGUCUUCAGAUGAAGGUCUCUGAACUGAGAGAAAACGCAGAAAUGGAUACAGAUAACAUACUCUUCAAUAUUGUAUAUAAAACUUGAAAGCAAAGUCAUGCCCUGAGCUCGUGUUCUAGACUUAGACUUAUAAGGAGCUGUGUUUAUGCCUGUCAAAGGCUGUGUGCACAGCAACACGUGGUCUCUAUCGGGUGCCAGGUGGCUGGUUGCCCACCCCAGAAAGCCUCAAGAAUUCAUCAGCGUUGGUGGUCUCUGUUCAGGAGAGCCAGAUACUGGAUGAAGACAAAGUAAACAGGAGGUGAAUGUACCUCGUGGAGCUUCGAAGAAUUAAAUGUAACUGCUGCGUAUGUGAACACUGGUGAAAUUUCCAGUCAUGCUAAGGCAAAAUAAAGAGUCUGAAUUGCAUUCAAACAUCACAAUAAAGACAAACCCAUGAAAUGCAUUUUAAAUUCUGAAGAUGCAUGCCAUUUAUACCUUGUCUGUAAAUGUAUAGCAUAGAAAAUCUGAAAGGUCCUGAAAGUGUAUUUAGCUUUUACUUACAUCAGCUGUAAUUAAUGUUUGCAUUGUGUUUUAAGUGAUUAAUAAGCUUUAAUAUCCUGGCAUUCUCCACUCUUGAAAGUUAAUUCUUUUGAAACAAAAGAGAAAGGCUUUGUUUCUCACCUGUUUCUGCAUCUAUUACUGUUACAGUAUCCAUAGAACAUGAACACGACUGAUGUACAGAUGUGCAUUUUCAAGUAAAUCCUAAAAAUACCACGAUAAAAGUUACAAAUGUAGUUGUGCAUCUUUUCAUCUUGUCUCUUCCCAAAUAAUGAGUAUGAAUUAUUUGCCUGUAUUAGGGGCUGUAGUUCAGAAGGGUAAAUGGUAAAGGCUCUCAUGAGGUGACAAACUGUCAUCUAUCGUGAUAUUGACCAG